rnacentral:lncRNA from 1 species
GUAUUUUAAUGAGCAAAGUUUUGAAUAGUGUCUUAAUACCUGUUACGAUGGUGUCCACACUGGAAGUGCCACUGAGCCUUGUGGCCCACAGGACUGGCCUCGAGUGGCUGUCUGCAUCUGCGCCCACUCCAGUGCUGCACUUGGCUGGCCACACACAGCCUUCUGUCUUAGCUGUGUCCUGUCGACUGACAGUUGAGAUGCCUUUGGUGACUCCUUGUGCUGGUCCCUUUCUGCUCACAUACCAGGAUUUCUGUAGGACAAGGACUUGGAACUGUUGGGUCACGGGGAAGACACGUCCUGAAUUCAGAUAAAAAACAACUACAGUGUUCUCCCCAGUUCCCAGGUCAAUCUCCUGCCAGGAUGUCUCCAGGUUAAUGUUCUCACCAGUUGGGCGGAUAAAAAUACUGUCUUGGGUUAGUGUGCACUGUCCGUAUCCCACCCCAACCGAUACUUUCAUUUAUCCCCAUUCCUAGUUUCCUCUCUGGACUCUGUGCCUGUGUCCUUCCUGCCUCUCCCCUUCUGACUGCCUUCUGUCCUUCCCCUCCCUCUCUCCUUCCCUCCCUCCCAUCUCUUUUUCUUCCAUUUUUUGGAGACAGGGCCUCACUAUGUAGUUCAUCCUAACCUCAAGCUCCAGGUCCUGUCUCCUCAGGCUCCCGG